rnacentral:sRNA from 1 species
UCUCUCUCCGUACGGGGAAGGAUGAGAAGCUUCGACUAAGGUUCGAUUCGAGCGCAGCGAGAAAGCGUUGCCGCAGGCAACGACCCGAAGGGCGAAGCGCGCAGCGCUGAGUCAUCCUUCCCCCACCACCA